rnacentral:rRNA from 1 species
GACGAACGCUGGCGGCGUGCCUAAUACAUGCAAGUAGAACGCUGAAGGAGGAGCUUGCUUCUCUGGAUGAGUUGCGAACGGGUGAGUAACGCGUAGGUAACCUGCCUGGUAGCGGGGGAUAACUAUUGGAAACGAUAGCUAAUACCGCGUAAUAGUAGAUGUUGCAUGACAUUUGCUUAAAAGGUGCAAUUGCAUCACUACCAGAUGGACCUGCGUUGUAUUAGCUAGUUGGUGGGGUAACGGCUCACCAAGGCGACGAUACAUAGCCGACCUGAGAGGGUGAUCGGCCACACUGGGACUGAGACACGGCCCAGACUCCUACGGGAGGCAGCAGUAGGGAAUCUUCGGCAAUGGACGGAAGUCUGACCGAGCAACGCCGCGUGAGUGAAGAAGGUUUUCGGAUCGUAAAGCUCUGUUGUAAGAGAAGAACGAGUGUGAGAGUGGAAAGUUCACACUGUGACGGUAUCUUACCAGAAAGGGACGGCUAACUACGUG